GAUGAACGCUAGCGGCAGGCUUAACACAUGCAAGUCGAGCGCGAAAGUUCUUCGGAAUGAGUAAAGCGGCGGACGGGUGAGUAAUACAUGGGAAUCUGCCUGGUAGUGGGGGACAACGUUUCGAAAGGAACGCUAAUACCGCAUACGCCCUACGGGGGAAAGGGGGGAUCUUCGGACCUCUCGCUAUCAGAUGGAGCCCA
rnacentral:rRNA from 1 species